rnacentral:misc_RNA from 1 species
GAUGAAGAACGCAGCGAAAUGCGAUAAGUAAUGUGAAUUGCAGAAUUCAGUGAAUCAUCGAAUCUUUGAACGCACAUUGCGCCCGCCAGUAUUCUGGCGGGCAUGCCUGUUCGAGCGUCAUUUCAACCAUCAAGCCCCGGGCUUGUGUUGGGGACCUGCGGCUGCCGCAGGCCCUGAAAUGCAGUGGCGGGCUCGCUGUCACUCCGAGCGUUGUAGUUACAUCUCGCUCUGGGCGUGCUGCGGGUUCCGGCCGUUAAAAGCCUUAUUUACCCAAGGUUGACCUCGGAUCAGGUAGGAAGACCCGCUGAACUUAAGCAUAUCAAUAAGCGGAGGA